GACGAACGCUGGCGGUGUGCUUAACACAUGCAAGUCGAACGGUAAGGCCCCUUUUGGGGGUACACGAGUGGCGAACGGGUGAGUAACACGUGAGUAACCUGCCCUCAUCUCUGGGAUAACAGUCGGAAACGGUUGCUAAUACAGGAUAUGAGCUUGCAAGGCAUCUUGUGGGUUGGAAAGAUUUUUUGGUUGGGGAUGGACUCGCGGCCUAUCAGCUUGUUGGUGAGGUAGUGGCUCACCAAGGCUUCGACGGGUAGCCGGCCUGAGAGGGCGACCGGCCACAUUGGGACUGAGAUACGGCCCAGACUCCUACGGGAGGCAGCAGUGGCGAAUAUUGCACAAUGGACGGAAGUCUGAUGCAGCAAACCGCCCGCGUGGCGGGGAUGACCGGGCCCUUUCGGGGUUGUAAAACCCGCUUUUCAAA
rnacentral:rRNA from 2 species